rnacentral:rRNA from 1 species
UGGGGAAUUUUGGACAAUGGGCGAAAGCCUGAUCCAGCAAUGCCGCGUGUGUGAAGAAGGCCUUCGGGUUGUAAAGCACUUUUGUCCGGAAAGAAAUCCUUGGCUCUAAUACAGUCGGGGGAUGACGGUACCGGAAGAAUAAGCACCGGCUAACUACGUGCCAGCAGCCGCGGUAAUACGUAGGGUGCAAGCGUUAAUCGGAAUUACUGGGCGUAAAGCGUGCGCAGGCGGUUUGCUAAGACCGAUGUGAAAUCCCCGGGCUCAACCUGGGAACUGCAUUGGUGACUGGCAGGCUAGAGUAUGGCAGAGGGGGGUAGAAUUCCACGUGUAGCAGUGAAAUGCGUAGAGAUGUGGAGGAAUACCGAUGGCGAAGGCAGCCCCCUGGGCCAAUACUGACGCUCAUGCACGAAAGCGUGGGGAGCAAACAGGAUUAGAUACCCUAGUAGUCCACGCCCUAAACGAUGUCAACUAGUUGUUGGGGAUUCAUUUCCUUAGUAACGUAGCUAACGCGUGAAGUUGACCGCCUGGGGAGUACGGUCGCAAGAUUAAAACUCAAAGGAAUUGACGGGGUCAUAGCUGUUUCCU